rnacentral:rRNA from 1 species
AACGAACGCUGGCGGCAGGCUUAACACAUGCAAGUCGAGCGCAUCCUUCGGGGUGAGCGGCGGACGGGUGAGUAACGCGUGGGAACGUGCCCUCGUCUACGGAAUAGCCUCGGGAAACAGAGAGUAAUGCCGCAUACGCCCGCAAGGGGAAAGAUUUAUCGGAGGAGGAUCGGCCCGCGUUGGAUUAGGUGGUUGGUGGUGUAACGGCCUACCAAGCCGACGAUCCAUAGCUGGUUGGAGAGGAUGAUCAGCCGCACUGGGACUGCGACACGGCCCAGACUCCUACGGGAGGCAGCAGUGGGGAAUCUUGGACGAUGGGGGCAACCCUGAUCCAGCCAUGCCGCGUGAUCGAUGAAGGCCUUAGGGUUGUAAAGAUCUUUCAGCUGGGAAGAUAAUGACGGUACCAGCAGAAGAAGCCCCGGCUAACUCCGUG